rnacentral:rRNA from 1 species
UGAGGAAUAUUGGACAAUGAACGAAAGUUUGAUCCAGCAAUAUCACGUGAAUGAAGAAGGUUUAUUUUAUUGUAAAGUUCUUUCGACGAGGAAGAUAAUGACAUUACUCGUAAAAGAAGUCCCGACUAACCUCGUGCCAGCAGUCGCGGUAAUACGGGGGGGGCAAGCGUUACUCUACGUUACUGGGUGUAAAGAGUAUUAAGGUUGUUUGGUAAGUUUCUUUUUAAAUUUUAAAACUCAAUUUUAGAAACGAAAGUAAAUACUGCUAAACUUUGAGUAUAUUAGAAGAUAGUUGUAUGUUUAGUGUAGAGUUAGAAUUCUUUAAUAUUAAAAAGACAAUCAAUAGGCGAAGGCUACUAUCUAUAAUAUUACUGACACUGAUAUACGAAAGCGUGAGGAG